UACGUAGGGACCGAGCGUUGUCCGGAAUCAUUGGGCGUAAAGAGCGUGUAGGCGGCUAUUUAAGUCCUGCGUGAAAUCCUGCGGCUCAACCGCAGACGGUCGUGGGAAACUGGAUGGCUAGAGUGCGGGAGAGGAGAGUGGAAUUCCCGGUGUAGCGGUGAAAAUGCGUAGAUAUCGGGGAGGAACACCUGUGGCGAAAGCGGCGCACUGGACCACAACUGACGCUGAGGCGCGAAAAGCUAGGGGAGCAAACAGG
rnacentral:rRNA from 1 species